AUUGAACGCUGGCGGCAGGCCUAACACAUGCAAGUCGAAUGGUAACAGGAAACAGCUUGCUGUUUCGCUGACGAGUGGCGGACGGGUGAGUAAUGUCUGGGAAACUGCCUGAUGGAGGGGGAUAACUACUGGAAACGGUAGCUAAUACCGCAUAACGUCGCAAGACCAAAGAGGGGGACCUUCGGGCCUCUUGCCAUCAGAUGUGCCCAGAUGGGAUUAGCUAGUAGGUGGGGUAACGGCUCACCUAGGCGACGAUCCCUAGCUGGUCUGAGAGGAUGACCAGCCACACUGGAACUGACACACGGUCCAGACUCCUACGGGAGGCAGCAGUGGGGAAUAUUGCACAAUGGGCGCAAGCCUGAUGCAGCCAUGCCGCGUGUAUGAAGAAGGCCUGCGGGUUGUAAAGUACUUUCAGCGGGGAGGAAGGGAGUAAAGUUAAUACCUUUGCUCAUUGACGUUACCCGCAGAAGAAGCACCGGCUAACUCCGU
rnacentral:rRNA from 1 species